rnacentral:rRNA from 1 species
AGCGAACGCUGGCGGCGUGCCUAACACAUGCAAGUCGAACGUGAAAGGGAGCAAUCCCAAGUAAAGUGGCGUACGGGUGAGUAACACGUAGGUAAUCUACCCCAGAAUCUGGAAUAACCGGCCGAAAGGCUGGCUAAUACUGGAUAGAGCGACGGAAUCCGUAAUUGGGUUUUUCGGGAAAGGGAGCCUGUAAAAAGGCCUUCGUUCUGGGAUGAGCCUGCGUCCCAUCAGCUAGUUGGUGAGGUAAAAGCUUACCAAGGCAAUGACGGGUAGCUGGUCUGAGAGGACGAUCAGCCACACUGGAACUGAAACACGGUCCAGACUCCUACGGGAGGCAGCAGGGGGGAAUCUUGCGCAAUGGACGAAAGUCUGACGCAGCAGCGCCGCGUGAGUGAAGAAGGCCUUCGGGUUGUAAAGCUCUGUCGAGUGGGACGAAAAUGCUUGGAGUUCACAGCUCCAGGAACUGACGGUACCACUAAAGGAAGCACCGGCUAACUCCGUG